rnacentral:rRNA from 1 species
AUGGAUAAAGUUUUGUUGGAUGUCUUUGUUGAACAUCACAACAGAGGUGAUCAGAACCAAAAUGGAUGGAAGCCACAUGUCCACAAUGUUGCUAUAAAGGCAAUACGUGAUAAGUGUGGACUGCAUGUCACAAAGGAAAAAAUAUGUUCAAGGUUGAAGACUUUUGACAAGCAUUAUGCUACAAUUAGCAAGAUUCUUUCUCAGAGUGGAUUUGGUUGGGAUUGGGUCAAUAACAAGCUACUCAUGGAUAGUGAUGAUGUAUGGAACAAAUAUGUUUAGGCUAAUGUGAAGGCAGCUUGUUACAAGAACAAAGAAGUGAAGAAUUGGGAGGCAAGCUGCACAAUAUACUCCAAAGAUCAUGCAACCGGUGAAGGUGCAAUGACAAGUGCCGAAAGUGAAGCACAACAAUAGAACCAGAUGUAGUAGACAUCAAAGCCUCUCCAGAAUUGCCAAAAAAGGUAGCGAACGGGCGAUGCUAUCUUGUGCAUGCUUGGAGACAUGAAGGGUUCUUUCCAAGAUGCUUUGAAGUCACUUGAGCCACUAGAACUGCCCAAGGUUACUCCUCCUCUUGAAAUCAUUGCUGCCCUUUGA